UGGGGAAUAUUGGACAAUGGGCGCAAGCCUGAUCCAGCAAUGUCGCGUGGGUGAAGAAGGUCUUCGGAUUGUAAAGCCCUUUCGGCGGGGACGAUGAUGAAGGUACCCGCCGAAGAAGCCCCGGCUAACUUAGGGCCAGCAGGCGCGGUAAUAAGAAGGGGGCUAGCGUUGCUCGGGAUUACUGGGCGUAAAGGGGGCGGAGGGGGUCCUGGCAGGCAGGGGGGAAAUUCCUGGGGUUAACAGGGGGGG
rnacentral:rRNA from 1 species